rnacentral:rRNA from 1 species
ACAUGCAGUCGAGCGGACCGACGGGAGCUUGCUCCCUUAGGUCAGCGGCGGACGGGUGAGUAACACGUGGGUAACCUGCCUGUAAGACUGGGAUAACUCCGGGAAACCGGGGCUAAUACCGGAUGCUUGAUUGAACCGCAUGGUUCAAUCAUAAAAGGGGGCUUUUAGCUACCACUUGCAGAUGGACCCGCGGCGCAUUAACUAGUUGGUGAGGUAACGGCUCACCAAGGCGACGAUGCGUAGCCGACCUGAGAGGGUGAUCGGCCACACUGGGACUGAAACACGGCCCAGACUCCUACGGGAGGCAGCAGUAGGGAAUCUUCCGCAAUGGACGAAAGUCUGACGGAACAACGCCGCGUGAGUGAUGAAGGUUUUCGGAUCGUAAAACUCUGUUGUUAGGGAAGAACAAGUACCGUUCGAAUAGGGCGGUACCUUGACGGUACCUAACCAGAAAGCCACGGCUAACUACGUGCCAGCAGCCGCGGUAAUACGUAGGUGGCAAGCGUUGUCCGGAAUUAUUGGGCGUAAAGCGCGCGCAGGCGGUUUCUUAAGUCUGAUGUGAAAGCCCCCGGCUCAACCGGGGAGGGUCAUUGGAAACUGGGGAACUUGAGUGCA